rnacentral:lncRNA from 1 species
UUUCUUUCUUUCUUUUUUUUUUUUUUUACAAACUAAGUGUAAAUUACAGGGGAAACAUUGUCAAAUGAACAAUAUGGCACAAAGAAUUAACCCCUCAUUGUUAGACUUUUGCCAUCCUGACGCCCUUAUAGCUUGGUAACAGUCUGUUCCUAAAUCAGCUAACAUAGGUAAACAGUAGUUGUGAAUUAGGAGUUCCUGUCAUGGUGCAGCAGAAAUGAAUUCGACUAGGAACCGUGAGGUUGUGGGUUCGAUCCCUGGCCUCAUUCAGUGGGUUAAGGAUCCAGCAUUGCGGUGAGCUGUGGUACAGGUCACAGAUACGGCUGGGAUCUGGCGUUGCUGUGGCUCUGGUGCAGGCCGGCAGAAACAGCUCUGAUUAGACCCCCUAGCCUGGGAAACUCCAUGUGCUGUGAGUGCAGCCCUAAAAAGAUAAAAGACCAAGAAAAAAAAAAAGUUAUGAAUUAAACAGUCAGGGCUAUGGGAAAUUCAAGACGGCCGCUUGGUUCUUCCCGGCUCCCUGGCAAACCCAAUAAUAUUAGACAAAGUGUUUUCCAUCUGGAGUAUACUUUCUACAGUCCAGUCCAAAUUUGGUUAAAAUGAGGAAAUAAAAAAAAAGAAAAGAAAAGAAAAGAAAAAGAAUGUUUUGAUUCAUAUUCUAGUUUUGCGUAUUGAAAUUGUGUUUACUGACUGAAACUCACCUCCCAAAUAGUUCUUUGCCGCUGUUACAUUAUUAUAAAUGUUAACCAAGUUAUUAAGGAAAAUAAUCUAAGCUUGUUUCUGAAGCUGAUUGCUGUAAUCCAUUUCUGGGCACAUAUAUCAGAUGUCCCAUGAUAACCAGGGGAAUAUAUAUACAUUCUGGAAAAGUAUCAUUUAAAGGGUUGUCCCCAACCUAAGAUAUAAAAGCUUUCUUUUUAGGAAUUCUUAAGUGCCAUAUGCACAAAGAAAGUGAAGAAAAUUAACUCUUAAAUUUAUAUUUCUCACUCAAGAAGGGCCUCUACAUUGGAUUGGUCUAUAGAGUGAAUUACUGACUUCAAACUCACCCUAAACCAAGGCUCUAAUAAGAAAAACACCAGUGCAGGGACAAGAAGAAGACAACAUCAGAAGCAGUCCACUAUCCCGAGACUGUCACCUGACUCGUAUGGUUAUUUGUUUUACUUCUGAUUUACCCUGAUGGGUUUCUCCCCUCCAAGGCUCUUAUUAUUGCUGUUACUAGGUGGGAUCCCCUCACCUGGCCAGUUAACACCUGCUCUGACCCAGACCAUAAAUACAUUUUCUUCUAAUGUUGCUCAAGCUCAAUCAACAAUAAGUGAGACUUCAGCCAAGAGAUAUAACUUUGCUAGGCUAUAUUAAUUUAAACUUAAAGGCUCCCUUUUGUUGGGAACAAUUAAACCAUCUAGGGAUAACCAGCCUGAUAACACUAAGAAAUUAGGCUGGUGGUUACAGUUCUGAUUCGACCCCUAGACUAGGAACCUCCAUAUGCUCAACUUAAAUUUUUGUUUAUAACUUUAUGAACACAUACUAUUUUUAUUAACUGCGUUCACAAAAUUGCUAUUUCUUGCCUUGCCAAAUUUGUAACUGAGUCUCUGAUGAAAUGAUAAUACAGUCUCAUAUGAGGUCAGUGAUCUCUAGAUAUGGGAAAAUGCAACAAGAGGGAAUAUUUUCCUGGACCGUAACAGACUAGGAAGACAGGUGGUCCAGAGACGAUUGGCUACUGUUAAUAAGGCCUAGUCCAGUAAUAGCACAUUGAGUUGCCUGUCAGCUAAAUCUUUGCCAGAUCUAGGAAUAUCCAUUCCUAGCACCGUGGGACAAAAUGGUCAUGAUAUGCCUCCCAAAACUAUGGUCGAAUUUAUGACCGUGGGGGAGCGCUGGGCACUGGAGUUUGGCCCUUGCCAUCAGCCUCUACAUGGAGUAAAACAUGAGCCACUGCAGCUUCCGACCCGCAACAGCCCCUGAGCAGAGCUCAGUGCGGAGACCAGGAGUGAGGCACUCGGUGCUAAGGGAAAACUGACCAAACAGGCCUUCAGAUAGUUAGAUUGCAGGUAAGGAUUUUUAUGGGCCCAAAUUCUUGCUUCUUCUCAUAUCUAGAAAAGCAGAAGUCAUUAACAGUGGCAUCUGCAUUGGCCAUUAGAGAGAAAAGGCAGGAUGGAGUAGCCGUGAGUCAGACACCCAAGCCAAGGUGAUACUAGGAAAUAUUAAGGGAGUGAUUUUCGACAAGACUUUGUAUUGCUAAGAACUUCAGGUUUAUGUGCCCAGUCAGACUUGAUGCCACCAGCUACCAAUAGCUCCUGUUAAUUAUGUGUCAAUAGUACAGCAAACGUUAAAACCAACUUAGAUAAAACUACACACUUCCUUCAACAGUACCGGCGUCAACCUAUAUCACCAACCUCUGCUUAAUCUUAUUUUUUUCAUCCCAUCCUCCAUAGUAGGAACCUACCAUGUCCAGUCCAGCCCCCCAGCACUCGUCGCCCCUCGCCAGCAGGAAGUAGCUACGGAAGAGAGGACCGUCGCCCCAUCCCAUUUAAAAAAGGCUGGAAUGAUAGGUUCCCAGGAAGAUGGAGACAGGACUCUCCCCUCCGCCCCAAUGUGACUGUUCACCUUGGAGACCUGCUGUGGACGGCGGUACCGCCCAGUACAAGGUCGACACCCUUUCCCGGACUAUGGAGCCUAGAUAACCACCUACAAGGAUUAACUGCCCUCCGUCUCAGCCCUCUCGGGACUCCAUCGUUGUUUGAGAAUCCAAAUUAUUUCUUUUAUUUGUCCCUGUAUUUGUGAUUUCUCUUUUUUUGUGCAGCCUACAGAAUUGGCUUGAUCCAUAGAAACCAAAUGAACGCCCUGCAAUCAAAAUUUACUAUGGCUGUUCUUAUACAACAAAUAAGUGAAAAUGGGAGGAGAUGUUGGAAACCACUGAACUGCUGAAUUCUGCUGAUGCAGAGUUCUGAAAGGUCGCCUUUACAGACAAGAUAAGGGCGUUUUUCCUAAACCAUGCUCUUCACUAAGCAGCCACUAUGCCCUAGAGGCAGGCACCAGUGUUAAUAGUUUCCUUUGUUAUUCACUAUGAGGUAGCUUUGUCAUUGCCUGUGCUUGAUUUUGUUAAUUCACCUACAUACUUUCCUUAAUAAAAGGCGUGUAGGC